ACGAACGCUGGCGGCGUGCUUAACACAUGCAAGUCGAACGGAAAGGCCCUGCUUGCAGGGUACUCGAGUGGCGAACGGGUGAGUAACACGUGGGUGAUCUGCCCUGCACUUCGGGAUAAGCCUGGGAAACUGGGUCUAAUACCGGAUAGGAGCCAUUUUUAGUGUGAUGGUUGGAAAGUUUUUUCGGUGUAGGAUGAGCUCGCGGUCUAUCAGCUUGUUGGUGGGGUAAUGGCCUACCAAGGCGGCGACGGGUAGCCGGCCUGAGAGGGUGGACGGCCACAUUGGGACUGAGAUACGGCCCAGACUCCUACGGGAGGCAGCAGUGGGGAAUAUUGCACAAUGGGCGCAAGCCUGAUGCAGCGACGCCGCGUGGGGGAUGACGGCCUUCGGGUUGUAAACUCCUUUCGCUAGGGACGAAGCUUUUUGUGACGGUACCUAGAUAAGAAGCACCGGCUAACUACGUG
rnacentral:rRNA from 1 species